rnacentral:rRNA from 1 species
GAUGAACGCUAGCGAUAGGCUUAACACAUGCAAGUCGAGGGGCAGCAUGGUCUUAGCUUGCUAAGACUGAUGGCGACCGGCGCACGGGUGCGUAACGCGUAUGCAACUUGCCUCACAGAGGGGGAUAACCCGUCGAAAGACGGACUAAUACCGCGUACACUCUAUUUUGGGCAUCCAAGGUAGAGGAAAUGAAAUUCGCUGUGAGAUAGGCAUGCGUCCCAUUAGCUAGUUGGUGAGGUAACGGCUCACCAAGGCGACGAUGGGUAGGGGAACUGAGAGGUUGAACCCCCACACUGGUACUGAGACACGGACCAGACUUCUACGGGAGGCAGCAGUGAGGAAUAUUGGUCAAUGGGCGAGAGCCUGAACCAGCCAAGUCGCGUGAAGGAUGACUGUCUUAUGGAUUGUAAACUUCUUUUGUAGGGGAAUAAAGAGGGGCACGUGUGCCCCAGUGAAUGUACCCUACGAAUAAGCAUCGGCUAACUCCGUG